rnacentral:rRNA from 1 species
GUGUCAGCAGCCGCGGUAAUACGAAGGGAGCUAGCGUUGUUCGGAAUUACUGGGCGUAAAGCGCACGUAGGCGGAUUUUUAAGUCAGGGGUGAAAUCCCAAGGCUCAACCUUGGAACUGCCUUUGAUACUGGAAGUCUCGAGAUCGGGAGAGGUGAGUGGAAUUCCUAGUGUAGAGGUGAAAUUCGUAGAUAUUAGGAAGAACACCAGUGGCGAAGGCGGCUCACUGGCCCGAUACUGACGCUGAGGUGCGAAAGCGUGGGGAGCAAACAGGAUUAGAAACCCCGGUAGUCC